UUCCACUGAUGACCUCUUUGUUAGUGCCACGUGUCUGGGCCACUGAGACCUGGUGAUGGAACUGAGGAUCUGAGGAA